rnacentral:misc_RNA from 1 species
AACGCAAAUUGCGCUCUCUGGUAUUCCGGGGAGUAUGCCUGUUUGAGGGUCAGUUUAAAUUAAAAUCGAGGUGUUGCUUUUUGUGAUGCGUCGGAAUUGGGUCGUCUUCUGUCCUUUGGAUUUUAAGAGACCUAAAAUUGAUAACUUUGUGCAUCUCAGACGUACAUAAGAAUCUUUUUUUUAUCCGUCAGGAAUGCCAGUUUUUAUUAGGUAUGACCAUAUUUUAUGGUUAUUGUACCUAUAAUAUUUACUCAUAUUUUGACCUCAAAUCAGGUAGGAGUACCCGCUGAACUUAA